GUGAAUUAUAUGAAUUAUAUAGUAAUUUUAAAACCUAACCAGGGACAGUGGCUGAAAUUGAGCUAUUACGUAUCUUUAUGAACAUAAAUUCAACUGAACUGUCACUCUGACCAAUACUUUAGGCCACAAUGAACGGAACUGAGCCAUGAUGAAUACUCAUUGUGAAUUUAUAACCCCUUACUUUCCUCUAUGUGGUUAAAUGCAUCUCUUUCUCUCUCACUUUUGGUCUUCCACUCAUCACUCAACACUCAUCUUUUCCUGUCCCCGGCUGAGGUGUCUGUGGGUCUAGGUGACGAAGAAAAUGAUCACACAGCUUGUGGGCUGAAAGACCUCCUUCAACAAAGACCCUUCAGCCUAGCAGAAUGUUUCAGAAUUAGAAGUGAGCAACAGAGCAAGAUGAAGUUCACUCUAUUUGCUGCCGUUCUUUUCUCUAUACAGUGGAUGAGUGUUGUGGAAGCAGAUGAUGGACGUCCAGUAGAAUGCUGUACUGAUGUGUCAACCAUCAAAGUAGAUCCUAAACUCAUUGCGGAAUAUUGUAUACAAGAAGCAUUGCUAUGUCCUGUCAGAGCUGUAAGAUUCCAGACCAAGAAAAACAAAACUAUUUGUUCAGAUCCAGAUAGCACAUAUGCUAAGAAUGUAAUAAGGAUAGUGAAUAGGAGAAAAACAACAAAACCUUCCCAAAAACCUACAAUGUGCACUAUAAAAAUCAUGAACUCACCUUUAACUACAACAAACAAAACACCGGGAACAAGGACUGAGACCAGCACGAGUACAACUGUACCACCAACAGUGACAACUAUCAAAACAUCUGGACCGGAGACCAGAACGAGUACAACUGU